GAUGAAGAACGUAGCAAAAUGCGAUAAGUAAUGUGAAUUGAAGAAUUCAGUGAAUCAUCGAAUCUUUGAACGCACAUUGCGCCCGCUGGUAUUCCGGCGGGCAUGCCUGUUCGAGCGUCAUUUCAACCCUCAAACCCCCGGGUUUGGUGUUGGGGAUCGGCUCUGCCUCACGGCGGUGCCGCCCCCGAAAUACAUUGGCGGUCUCGCUGCAGCCUCCAUUGCGUAGUAGCUAACACCUCGCAACUGGAACGCGGCGCGGCCAUGCCGUAAAACCCCAACUUCUGAAUGUUGACCUCGGAUCAGGUAGGAAUACCCGCUGAACUUAAGCAUAUCAAUAAGCGGAGGA
rnacentral:misc_RNA from 1 species